GUAGGGAGCAAGCGUUAUCCGGAUUUAUUGGGUGUAAAGGGUGCGUAGACGGGCUAACAAGUUAGUUGUGAAAACCAUGGGCUCAACCUGUGGCCUGCAUUUGAAACUGUAGUUCUUGAGUACUGGAGAGGCAGACGGAAUUCCUAGUGUAGCGGUGAAAUGCGUAGAUAUUAGGAGGAACACCAGUGGCGAAGGCGGUCUGCUGGACAGCAACUGACGCUGAGGCGCGAAAGCGUGGGGAGC
rnacentral:rRNA from 1 species